rnacentral:rRNA from 1 species
UGGGGAAUUUUGGACAAUGGGCGAAAGCCUGAUCCAGCAAUGCCGCGUGAGUGAAGAAGGCCUUCGGGUUGUAAAGCUCUUUUGUCAGGGAAGAAACGGUGAGGGCUAAUAUCCCUUGCUAAUGACGGUACCUGAAGAAUAAGCACCGGCUAACUACGUGCCAGCAGCCGCGGUAAUACGUAGGGUGCAAGCGUUAAUGGGAAUUACUGGGCGUAAAGCGUGCGCAGGCGGUUUUGUAAGUCUGAUGUGAAAUCCCCGGGCUCAACCUGGGAAUUGCAUUGGAGACUGCAAGGCUAGAAUCUGGCAGAGGGGGGUAGAAUUCCACGUGUAGCAGUGAAAUGCGUAGAUAUGUGGAGGAACACCGAUGGCGAAGGCAGCCCCCUGGGUCAAGAUUGACGCUCAUGCACGAAAGCGUGGGGAGCAAACA